UACGAAGGGUGCAAACGUUGCUCGGAAUCAUUGGGCGUAAAGCGCACGUAGGCGGCUUCGCAAGUCGGAUGUGAAAUCCCUCGGCUCAACCGAGGACGUGCAUCCGAAACUGCGAAGCUUGAGUACUGAAGAGGAUCGCGGAAUUCCCGGUGUAGAGGUGAAAUUCGUAGAUAUCGGGAGGAACACCAGUGGCGAAGGCGGCGAUCUGGGCAGUUACUGACGCUGAGGUGCGAAAGCGUGGGAAGCAAACAGG
rnacentral:rRNA from 1 species